rnacentral:lncRNA from 1 species
UUUAAGGUCUAACCCACUGACAUAAAAAGCUAACUCACAACCCCUGCUAACCAAAACCACGACCGGUUUCCCAAAACCGAUUACCAAAUAAACCGGAAGUCCCAAAAACUGCGCCGGAACUUUCUCGUCGCUCCCCCGUCGUUUCCGAACCCUCAAAACGACGCGGGUGACCAGCCAACCAGGCUCAGCGACGCCACAAUCAGCCACGACGCACCGUCGGAUGAAAUCCGAACCGAAACCGCGUUCUAUCGGCAGAUUUCGCCGAAAAACGCUCCGGAAAUCAGUUUUCGAUUUCCGCAAAGGCUUGGGGCCUUGGACGAU